GGUUACUGUUAAAAGAGAAAGUGGAGUGCCAACAUGAAGAUUUUGUACAUAUAUCUAAUCUUGGCUCUAAGCUUUAGACAAGACAUUUAACCUUCUGACUCUAUAGUCUCAUUUACGAAAUGGAAAUGGAGGUGAUUGCCAGCCUUGGUGAGGAUCAAAUGUGACAAUUUGUAGGAAAGUACUUUGUAAACCGAAAAGUGUGCAAACAUCCUAAAUGUCCAUCAGUGGAUGCCUGGAAAAAAAGAAUGUUGUAAAUAUGUAUAAUGGAAUAUUACUCAGCCAUAAGAAAGGAAAGGGUUUUCCCAGUAUCUUAAAAUAUGUCUGUUAGAUAGCCAGCAGUUGUUUGCUAAAUCUGAAUUAUCUUUGCUUCAUAGAUUGAUUGACGAGUGGCCAUUGACUUACAAAUCUAUCCAUUACAUUUCUUGUUCACGUUCAAUUGAUAUUUUCUACACAGCUGAGCAAGUUAAAUUAGGACAUGGCAGGAAAUAACUUUGUUACUGAAAUAGAUUCUAAGCAAAAAUUUGUGAUGGUGAUCAUAAGAAUAACGACUGCUUUUUGAAUGUUUGCUAACUGCCUGGUAUUGCACAAAUGUUUUAUGUAUAUCACUUCAUGUAAUCCUCAUAAUAAUUCUGAAAAAUAGAUACAAUUUUGCCUCUUUUAUAAAUAAAGAAACUGAAGUUCAGAGAGGUUAGAAACGUUGCCCGAUGUCAUACCGACAGUGGCAGAGCUGGGAUUUGAACCAAGCCUUAAGUCUCAAACCCUGUGUCAACCAUUUAGGGUGACACUAGGCAAUCUGUGUGAGAGUGUUAAAGUCCCUUCCUCCCUCUCAGGAUCCCUGUGCUCUAAACCACUGAUUUGGAGGGGAAGAUCCCCCAACUUAUGUAUCUUAGCCUCAUCCCUUGUGGGCGGCCAUCUCUUGGACAUCUGUUGAACUUUAAGCACAGUAGGCUCGUGUGUGCUGAGGCAUGGGGGAGCAUCCUCUGCUGUGUUAGGAGGCUGAACCAGUGUCCCCAUGGUGGCUCUGAUCUAGCCCUUCUUAAGGGCUGUGGAAGAGUCUUGGGCAGUGAGAUGGGCAGGAGGCCUCGCUGAGGUUGGUGGGGCAGAGAUUCCUGGAAGCUAACAAGAGGGAAAGCAAGAACUUCAUCCCUUCCUGGCACCAGAGAAAGCUGUCCCCACUGGCUCCAGCCGCCAUGGAGCUGAGAGGAUGUGGCUGCCCUUGCUGCUUCUGGUGCUCCCUGGCCUGGACUCUGAGGUCGCAAGGAGCAGUGUAAUUAGCAGGAAGUUGCGGAGAAGGUUUCAGUUCACUUACUGCAUCCCAGCCGAGUUCAUAAGUUGAAGCCCUAACCCCCAGUACCUAGAACAUAACCUUAUUUGGAGAGAAGUCCUUUACUGAAGUUAAAAGGAGCUUAUUAGGGUGGGCCCUCAUCCACUGUGACUGGCAUCCUUAUAAAAAGGGGGACAUUUGUACACAGACGUAUACGCAGGGAGGACACCACGUGAGCAUGAAGAUGGCCAAGUGCAAGCCAAGGAGAGAGGCUGGAACAGAUCCCCCCUCAGGGCUCUCAGAAGGAACCACCUCUGCUGACACCUUGAUCUGGGACUUCCGGCCUCCAGACCUGUGAGCCAAUAGACUUCUAUUGUUUAAGCCUGUCUGCAGUGUUUGGUCAGGAUGGACUCAGCCAAUGAACAUACUCACUGGUAGGUCAGCUUUAGGGCGUUUGUAUAUGAAGGAGCAGCUCUGACUUUCAGAGGUGGUGAAAAGCUUGCGAGGCAGCCCUCUCUUCAUUCCUCUGUGUGAGACAGCUUCAUAGGAGGCUCUCUGCAGUCUCAGCUAUGCUGACCUCUGACCUCUGCACAUCUUCUGGGGGCGCUUGAGCCAACUGCUUAACAUCUCUGGUCCUCAUGCUCUGCACCUGUAGGAUGGGGAUAAUAAUGCCCCCCCCCCCCCCCCCCCNCCCCGCCCCUGGUUAUUGUCAGGACUUAACUGCUGUCAAAGGAACAUGUAAGUUACCUUCCCACCUCAAAAAUCACCUCUGCUUACGUGCCCUGGGCAGCCAAGUUAUGUCUCACAUAACAUGAUCCCCUGUCCUACCCUCACCCUCUGCAAGUGGACUGGAGCAUGAGUGACUCCUGACCCACAGUGAGCCAGUCCACAGGCCUGAUGGGCUGCCUGUGCAAAGACAGCUGGGUCACUCAAACACCUCUUGGGAGUUUGGACUAACAGAUAUGGAGAUGAGUAGCUAAAGGUGGGCUCGUCAGCUAAGGCAUCAUGAAGUGGAGUCAGAGGCCAAGAGGUUAUAAGAAAGCUGGAGUUAUGAGGGGCAGCCCUUGUGGGUCAUCUGAGAGGCUGGGUGUCCGUUGAGUGGAGCUUUAGCUAAAGCAGAAGUGCAGGAAGCGGGGGUGGGGACACUCAGCUCCAAGCACUGUCCUGGUCCAGCCCAGGUCUCAUAGUCCAUGUAGGGGCACCUGCUUCUCUCACCCAGAGGAUUGCAGCUGAAACAAAGGAGAUUCUAUGCACAGGCACAUUGGUGGCUCUUGUUGCCGGUGCUCAGUAGUGUUAGUUAUAUUCUCUUACCUCCUUCCAGGUGUUCCCUUGAUCCCCGUCUGUCAGUGUAGAGCUGGGGGCCCAGGGAUUCGCAGGUAAGGAAAUAAGCCACUUCAAUGUAGAUGAGUUGCUAGGGCAACAAAAGAGAAAUUCUAGUUGAUGGCCCCUUCCUACGCUCUCUUUAUCUCCUCCUGCCUACCUCUGUCCUCCCUGCUUCCCUCUGUCCCCCUCUUCCUGCAAAUUGAAUACCUCUUCUGUGCCCAGCAUAGAUCCUGGAGAUACAGUGCUGGAUACAAGAGACAAGAUCUAUGGUCUUUAUGUUCUACUGGGAGACACAAAUGGUUAAUAUGUAAACAAGGAAAUACAAAGAAAUAAACAAGAGAAGGUGGUGUGACAGAAUAGACCCAAAUGGGUUUGGGAUUGCCACACCUCUGCAGAGCCUUUCCUGAGGUCAGCCACACCAGGCACUGCUUUUGGUUUAAAUCUGCAGCCGCCAUCUUGAAAUUCUUAGUAAUGGAUUUUUUUUGGUUUUUUGCUUUUUUGUGUGUUUUUUUUUUUUUUUUUUUUUUUUUUUUUGCUUUUUAAGGCCCCUGGGAACCUCCAUAUGCCGCGGGAGCGGCCCAAGAAGUAGCAACAACAACAAAAGACAAAAAGACAGAAGACAAAAAAAAAAAUAAAAAAAAAAA
rnacentral:lncRNA from 1 species